rnacentral:rRNA from 1 species
AAUAGAUACCCCGGUAGUCCACGCCGUAAACGAUGUCGACUUGGAGGUUGUGCCCUUGAGGCGUGGCUUCCGGAGCUAACGCGUUAAGUCGACCGCCUGGGGAGUACGGCCGCAAGGUUAAAACUCAAAUGAAUUGACGGGGGCCCGCACAAGCGGUGGAGCAUGUGGUUUAAUUCGAUGCAACGCGAAGAACCUUACCUACUCUUGACAUCCAGAGAACUUAGCAGAGAUGCUUUGGUGCCUUCGGGAACUCUGAGACAGGUGCUGCAUGGCUGUCGUCAGCUCGUGUUGUGAAAUGUUGGGUUAAGUCCCGCAACGAGCGCAACCCUUAUCCUUUGUUGCCAGCGGUUAGGCCGGGAACUCAAAGGAGACUGCCAGUGAUAAACUGGAGGAAGGUGGGGAUGACGUCAAGUCACCAUGGCCCUUACGAGUAGGGCUACACACGUGCUACAAUGGCAUAUACAAAGAGAAGCGACCUCGCGAGAGCAAGCGGACCUCAUAAAGUAUGUCGUAGUCCGGAUUGGAGU